rnacentral:rRNA from 1 species
GAUGAACGCUGGCGGCGUGCUUAAUACAUGCAAGUCGAACGGAAAGGCCCUGCGCUUGCGGGGUGCUCGUGAGGCGAACGGGGGAGUAACACGCGAGUAACCCGCCCCUGACAGUGGGAUAACUCUAGGAAACUGGGGCUAAUACAGGAGAUGAGCUCUUGCUGCACGGGGGGGGUUGGAAAGAUUCGGCGGUGGGGGCUGGACUCGCGGCUUAUCAGCUUGUUGGGGGGGUAGUGGCUUACAAAGUCUUUGACGGCUAGCCGGCCUGGGAGAGUGACCGGCCUCCUUGCGCCUGCGAUACGGCCCAGUCUCCUACGUGACGCAGCAGUGGAGAGUAUUGCGCAGUGGGCGGAAGCCUGAUGCGGCAACGCCGCGUGCGGGAUGCCGGCCUACGGGUUGUAAACCGCUUUCGAAUGUGCCGAGGCCUGAUUGACGGUAAUGGGUAAGGAAGCCCCGGCUAACUACGUG